UGUGAUGGAUGCAUUUGAAUUUCCAAGGAAGGAACAAGUAGUAGAUUAUACUUUUAAAGCUUUUUCCCCCAUCUUUGUGAUCCAUGCAUUCAUACUUGCAGUAUAAUCAAACUAACACCUGUGGUACUUAAGAGAAACUUGGAAUCAUAGGACUGAAUGAAAACCACCUUGCAUGUGGCCAAUCUGAACAUUUCUUCUGUUUCGAGUGAGAUUGCUUGAACAUAUUCAUAUAGUUCUCACCACGAAAAUUUGGUUUCUGUGCAUGAUCUAGUUUUAAUUUCUAAAUAAUCAAAUGCAUUUUUUUUUACUCAUUAUCCAAAAGACUUUGCCAUAUUUUACUCUAUUUUGCAUGAACAAAGGGGGAGUUCUUUCUUUAGUAUCUAAUGAAACUGGUGAUUGAUCCAUGGAUUUUAUAUUGUUUUAUCACAGCCAAUAAAAUACUGAGUAAGUUCACACAUAUCGUCUUUUCUUCAGGUAGAUAAUAAG
rnacentral:misc_RNA from 1 species